AUUAGGAGUUAGGAUAUCAGAGGUAAACUAGGAGUAGCCGAAAUUGAAGAUAAGAUGAGAGAAAAUUGGUUUAGAUGGUGUGGAUGAUGCGAAAAUUAUCUUAACACACAAAUUUAACCCUCUUUUGACAAAUGUAGUACAAGUAUAAGUAGGGAUCGUUCUGGACCGGGGAUUAGGAGGGCUUGCUAAUAAUCUCUAAACUGACUCAAAAACAUAAAACUAAAUUUAAAAAAACUUAACAAGACUCACAAGACUCAAAGCAAACUUAAAAUACUCAAAACAGCUUAAAACAACCAAAUAAACUUAAACUAGACACUAGGAAUGACUUUGGACGAAAAUUGACUUUUACUCGAAUCAAAACACUUAAAAACACAAGCUAAAACAGAUUUGAAACACUUUGAAACAAGAAACUAAAAGGGGGGUUUUGAUUUGGAUGAAGUUGAAACAAACAAACAAGUAUGAAAAACUAGACAGAUUGUAAAAUAAAUUUGAGAAAUAAGAUGAUGGAUGGGAUAGAUAGAGGCUUUUUCUCCACACAUGACAAUGUAUGCAAACAACUCGAUUUCCAGUUACUACUUCAUUGAAUUAUGAAUGACAAUGCUCCAAAUUAACCGUGACAUCACUAGUUAACUCUUAGAUUUUCCUUGUUUUAUUGGAUUGGAUGACAUAAUUCGACAACCCAAAACAUUCUUCAAAAGUUCCCUACAUGACAUCAUAACAGAGAUACAAUCAAAGAUCAUUACGUUUCAUGAAAAUCAUAAGCAUUGACAAAGCACUUGCAACUAUGACAUCAUGUCACUCAUGCUAGAAUUAAACUUAACACUUGAGUACAUACUUAAUUACAGUCACCACUUACUAGUUCACAAUUAACCAAUUAAAACGAUGUUUUGAAUGUAGUAACAUGCCUUAGAGAAUUUGCUCAAUUCCUUACUAGAUACUCUCUAUUUUCACACACAUUUUCUAACUACACACCCUACACUAGUAUAUGUGAGAAGAUUGAUAUAAACACGAAAGACUAGGACUCACAUAUGUUAUAACAAAGAAAGCAAUUUUCUGGAGUUAUUAAGAAUGUUCCGAUAUGAUCUCAUGAAUGGAAUGCGACUACUUAGAUGCGAGAACCAGUGACACCAUAUGCUCAUACCAAUUUCGAACUCCACAAAUUGAAACGCACAACACUCAAGAUUGAAGUCAAGGGUUGUAACAAGGCUUGGGGGUUAUGGCUAACAAAGAAAGGAUAGGGAUAACAAACGUUCUUAAAGCGAUAGCAAGCAAAGCAAUGAAAUAGACACUUGGAAAUCACUUUAGAAUGUAGAAUCAACUU
rnacentral:lncRNA from 1 species